rnacentral:rRNA from 2 species
ACUUAAAUUGAAGAGUUUGAUCAUGGCUCAGAUUGAACGCUGGCGGCAGGCCUAACACAUGCAAGUCGAGCGGUAGCACAGAGAGCUUGCUCUCGGGUGACGAGCGGCGGACGGGUGAGUA